GGCAACACUUACUGCUUUGGUCACCAUGGUGAUGCUGGUGAGCCUUCUAAGGGAGAGAGAAUCCUCAGGUCACUUUCCUUAAGGACAGUAAUCAAAUUCUCUAGUCCAGAAAGUAUCUCUGCCUCCAAGAAUCUAGGCUUACACAAUGGGGACUUGGACUUGCGUGAAAUAUUUCUGGGUCUGAAAUUCAAGUGAGAGAAGCGGUCCAUCCUUCUCCACCAAUCAGAGGCUCCCGUCUUAGAGGCAGCGAAGUGGCAUAGAGACUAGAAUGGCGGACCAGGAGUUAGGGAAACCCUCGGUUCAAAUUCUGCCUCAGACUCAGGUGGCCCAAAGCCAACAAGUUUCAUGACUGAGUUCAAAUCCAAAAAGAUCCUGACAGGAUGGAACAUUGGGACAACUCUAAUGAGCAUGACAUUGAUUAUGGAUACAUGUCAAAUCCUUCAGGUCUACUCUCUGUAGAGAAACCUAAAUCUCAAGUCCAGUGACAUUUCUGACUAACCUGAAGAAUUGAAGGAGUUAAGUCCCAACUGUGAUAUUACCCAAAGUCCUAGACUCUGCUAGACGAAAUUAGUGCAGUAGUGUAAGCCAGGGUCUCUUGAAACAACACUCCCUGGGCAAGAUUACAUUAAAAGAAAGCAUUUCUGGCAACUGUGCCAUUUCACCUAAACUAGCCCUUUCCUAAUAGGUGUCUACUAUGUGCAGAACUACUGCAGUAUUACUUUUGUAGAUAUAUCUUUUCAUCAGGAUCUAAAGUCCUUCAGGAAAAGGAAUUGCUUUUGCCUUUGCUUCUUUCCACCUAAGCAGAGAAUCUAGCACAUAAUGUAGGUAGGUGCUUAACAACGUUUAUUGAUUGAGAAAGGGUAGUCAAUCAUGUCAUGGUCAGGGGAAAAAAAAAGCUAAGUAGGAUGAAUAAUGAGAAAAAUCAUGAAACUGAGUAGUGAUGAGGUUAUCAUUAACCCUGGAGAAAACAAUUUCAUUUCAAGUGGUUGGAUCUGAAGGUAACCAGCAAAAGGCUGAAAGAUGAGCAGCAAGUUAGGAAGUACAAGAAAUGACUUGCCCAAGUACCUCUCUCCUAUGCCUAAAGUCCAACUAUGAACCUAGGGCAGAGCUGGAUAUACAACCAAGAUCUCUUAAUCUAGGCCUAGGCUAUUAUUAUAUAGACCUGCACAAAACACAAAUUAUUAGAUGAAAUAGUCAACUUGUUAAACAUUUAUUUCCAAGAACCAAAUGAAUGCGUGCCAAUGUAUAUUAAUUACCUAGAUGUUUUUUGUAAAGUUAGACACCUUUAUGUUCUGCAGGUUAGAAUGACAUAUGCUUAAUAUUAACUAGGCUUUCAAACAAAUCGUAAAACAGUAUGAAUCACACCUUUGUAGUGUCAAAUAAAUUAAUGGCAACAACACAGUGAAUGACUAUGCAUAAUGUUUUAAUUGUGUAAAACUGUUUUUUUAAAAAAGGCAAAGGUGGGGGAAUGAAAACUCUCCCAAACUCUAGUAGUAGCCCAGGAAAUUCCACAUUUUAAGUAUAUGCUAUAUACCAAGUGCUAUCAUUUAAAAAUUGCCAUUUACUGAUGACAGGCUAUUAAACAAAAUCUAUGAAAGAACUAAUUCAAGGCCUGAGCUCUCUGUGAAGUAUCAUUCUCUAUCAGACCAACCUACC